UCGAGGAUCUUCGGCAAUGAGCGCAAGCUUGACCGAGCGACGCCGCGUGCGGGAUGAAGGCCUUCGGGUUGUAAACCGCUUUGGUCCGAGAAUAAGGCAGAGCAAUCUGCUUGAAUGAUCGGAGAAACAAGCACGGGCUAAGUUCGUGCCAGCAGCCGCGGUAAGACGAACCGUGCGAACGUUGUUCGGAAUCACUGGGCUUAAAGGGCGCGUAGGCGGCCGGGCGGGUCGUGGGUGAAAUCCCCCAGCUUAACUGGGGAACUGCCUACGAUACCACCUCGGCUCGAGGGAGGAAGGGGCGGUCGGAACUGUCGGUGGAGCGGUGAAAUGCGUUGAUAUCGACAGGAACGCCGGUGGCGAAAGCGGACCGCUGGCCCUCUUCUGACGCUGAGGCGCGAAAGCCAGGGGAGCAAACGGGAUUAGAUACCCCCGUAGUCC
rnacentral:rRNA from 1 species